rnacentral:tRNA from 13 species
GCAGUCGUGGCCGAGUGGUUAAGGCGAUGGACUCGAAAUCCAAUGGGGUUUUUACGCGUAGGUUCGAAUCCUACCGGCUACG